UGUCAAAUUAUGCGUCAUAAGCUGCGGAAAGAUUGUAAGAGAGACGUGUAAGAACUGUAUGAGAGUUUGUGAAAACGUUGCUUGAAAGAAGUCCAAUAUGUGUGUAAAAGUUGUGCGAGACUUAUGUGAAAGAUACGUACAACUUGUGAGAAAAUUCUGUAGAAGUUGUAGAAAAAGUUUAGUCCGAAGGUUGUGUCCGAGGUUGUGUCUGAAGGUUGUGUCCGAGGUUGUGUCCGAGGUUGUGUCUGAAGGUUGUGUCCGAGGUUGUGUCCGAGGUUGUGUCUGAAGGUUGUGUCCGAGGUUGUGUCCGAGGUUGUGUCUGAAGGUUGUGUCCGAGGUUGUGUCCGAGGUUGUGUCUGAAGGUUGUGUCCGAGGUUGUGUCCGAGGUUGUGUCUGAAGGUUGUGUCCGAGGUUGUGUCCGAGGUUGUGUCUGAAGGUUGUGUCCGAGGUUGUGUCUGAAGGUUGUGUCCGAGGUUGUGUCUGAAGGUUGUGUCCGAGGUUGUGUCCGAGGUUGUGUCUGAAGGUUGUGUCCGAGGUUGUGUCCGAGGUUGGGUCUGGGUUGCGUCUGGGUUGCGUCUGGGUUGCGUCUGGGUUGCGUCUGGGUUGCGUCUGGGUUGCGUCUGGGUUGCGUCUGGGUUGCG